CAUGGAAGCUGGGUUCCCAAAAAACUAUCCAUCCAAGAGUUAGCAGGUCAGAAACUGUAGUAUCUUUGAGAACGCAGUCUCAGAAGUGGUUCUGCAUCACUAUAUUUCAUCCACAAUAUCCUAUUUGUUACUAAGUUAAGCCCUAUUCAGUGUCAGGAGGUGGAGACUACUAGGCCAGCAAUCACCUGCCAGGAUGGGAGGACCUCUGGGGGCCACCUUGGAAGCCAGUCCCCAUCAUGGAACUGUCCAUUGACAGAAUAGGCUGUGUCAUGAGACAAUAAGUGCCUGGAGGUACACAAACAAACCUGGCCCCAAACUGAGUAAAUGAGGAAAGGGGGUGGGCAGUUUUCUAGAGCACAUUGUGAAUAGUCUAGACAAGCUUCCUCCUUUCAGAACUCAUUGUUCUCUAAGGAGUAUGUAAACUGACUUGAAAAAAAGAAAAGAGAGAGGGAAAUUAAGUGAGUUGAAAACACCAAAAUAGCUCUCAUUUUUUAGAGUGAAACUAUUUGAUAAAUUAUUUGAGGGUUACAUUUAUGAAGCGGGCAUGGAGGUGAGGGCAAACCAGAGCAAUCCCCCAAGAUGAGAUGAUUGGCAGUAUACCCUGGAGAAGGGAGCAAGAAUUUAAACACUGAGAAUUGUUUAAUUAGCCUAACUUCAUUCAAGACCUCUCAGCCUCAUUUUCAUUGUUUGUCUUACAUACAUAACAUCCUUCGGUAUCAGCCCAUCUUUUUGCAGCAUCAAGCCCCAAGACUCUGAAACAGUGUUUUAGAUAACCUACUAGGCAUUUCAUUCUCUAAAGAAACCAAUUAUAUAUGAAAUUAAUAAUUAAAAAUUAUAAAUAGAAAGAACAAGAAAACAUGCAUACUCCAUGUCCUGCGGGUAGAUUUUUGCAUGGUGUGUAGGGAAUUAGGUGCAAAAAAAUCCAUUUAUGUUAAUGGGCAUUGCAUGUCUAAUUUCUCAUGCACCACACUGCCGACUUCCCCCUGUGUCUUUGUCAGUACAUGGGACUGAUGGAGGGGGAAAGAAAAGUGAAUGAUUUAUUUGAUGGUCUGUCAAUCAUAACAGCAACCAGAGAAAUUCCAAAACUGUUUUUAACCUCUAUAGAAACAGUUAGUUAGACCAUAUGCUUUUUUCUUCUUGCCAGAUGCUGUCAUUCAUCAAUUUCCUAUUAAGAAAAUGGGAUUCUGCAAAACCACUGAGGGUCUUUCUCAUUUGUAAUAGAUAUGCCACAAAAUCAGAUUGCAAACGUAUUCUGCAGCUUGUGCAAAAUAACUUCUGACACUUGCUAAUCUCCAUAUUAAUUCUGACUGACCUUUGAUGGUGUUUCUUAUGUGUGGUCAGAACAUCAUCCAAAAAUAUUAUUUUAAAAUUACUUUUACCCUGAGUUUAAGCCUAGAGGUUAAAUAGAUUUGUUUGUGAUUAUCCAGUCUAUAAAAAAGAAAUUAAAUGGACAUUUAAAAAUACCAGUUCCCUCCUAAAAUACUCUUUAGAUAGUAAAGAGAGAUAAUAAAAUGUCUGAGAAUUAAAGUAAGCAACAUGAGCCAAGCAUUGAUCACUCGAAGACAUCAAAGAAACUGAAAAAAAAUUUUUUUAAUUAUAUUGACCCCUCUCACCCCACCAAGUACAAAGAUCAUUUUGUUGAGAGCAGAUGGCUGCUAAUUACUAUAAGCUCCUGAGUGGAUUUGUUUGUUUGCUUGUUUGUUUAUAAUCAUGGAUAAAGACACCUAGAAAACCUAAGGACUCCUUUUCUUAGGGACAAUAAAAUCCAUCCUCUCCUCAGCAGCAGUACAUCGUCAGGCUUCAGGACAUGGCUAUAACAACAAUUGCAUUUUGGGUUUUAAAUUUGAAUGUUCUAGGUAGUUGGAAUAUAUUGACACUUGCCAUCAUUUCUAACACAGAUUUUCUUGAGGUAUUCUUAUGAUAACACUGGUGGCUUCAAAUGUUUGCUUGUCAUGCCGAACUCACUGAGCAAACCAGCGAACAUGGAAGUUUAAGGGAAAAGAAUACCACUGCACAACUUUCAAUCUGCAGCAUUUUGCAUUUCUUAUUAAUAGGAACUGACUCUUUGACAAACCCUGCAAAUGCUUUAUAGGAGUGAGGAAUGCUCUGAAAUUCAAGGCAAAUUUCGUUCAAUAGUUAAGCACUGAUCAAAAUUCUGAAUUUUCUCUGGCUGUCAGCCAGCAAGCAGGGGCUGCUUAUUGUUUAAGAUUUUAGUAGAAAGCCACUCAGAGGGGAGGGGAAAAAAAAAAAAAUCUAUGACUUUACAGCUGUCAGACUUUGUUGUAUCUACUCCAGCCUAAUAUUCUCAAGUCUAAUUUUUUUUUAAGCUUUGUCUUUUUAUUCAUAGACCCAGUAGAGAGUGCAUAUAGCCAUAAACGUGUGCCUCCAUCACACGGCAUUGCUAUUGACCCCUGCCCUGAGCUGAAGAUUGUACCUUCUCAGGGGAUAACAAAUGAUUCACUUUGCAGGUAGGCAGAGGCCUGGAGCUCCCUUCUCCAGACACUGCCAAUUUUCCUGAAUGAUCUCUUGUGAUUGGUUUUCUCAUAUGAAUGGACUCUCUGAGUACACCACCACCAAACUCUGUUUAUUUAGGAAUAUGUCUUUGACAAGAACAGCUGUCCUGGGGUUGAAAUGAUUAGUACUUUAUCUGCUAAUGCAGGUUCCCAUUUGGCUGUGGGCUAAAAACACAUUUCCAUCCUGGGAAAACAUUGCUGCCAUUUCUUGGCCCCCAAACAAGUUUUUGGUGUUUGAUCAAGCUGAGCCACUAAAAAAAAAAUGACAAUAAUCUUAUGUAAGGUCACUGGCUUGACCUCUAACGGCCGACUAAGGUUCCAGUUCUGUAAGGUGAACCGGAAAAACGAGCAAGCUCUGUGCAUAGAAAUAGUAGCCAAGUUUCCUCUAUUAAUCCAGCCUCACUUGGGAGCAUGGUUAAAAUAAGGAUACAGGUGAGCACAAAAGAGAUAGGAUCCUGAGUCUGACCUUGACUUAGAGAGAAAAUUCUUUAACAGGUCCAUAGUGGGUGGGAGAAAUGGAGCUAGAGGCCCUCAGCCAGAAAAUUAUUUAACCUGGAGCUAACAUUCUUUCAAACUUCCUGUUUAGGAGUGUUAAGGUAUUUCCAAGCACAGUUGUACAAACACAUAUCCAUUGUGAGAUACAAAUAUGUGUAGUCUGUUGAAUAAAAUAUUAAAAAGUAACCACUACUUUUUGAAAUAUUGGUCUGUCAUUUUUUAGUGUUUUGAUUAUUUGGGCAUCUUAAUGCUUUUCAAUAGCAUCUGCCGAAGCCCACUGAAAAACUUUAAGAUUGGUUUAAAGCACUGUUAAACUAACCCGCAAAGAGCAGAGCCCAUAACAAAUUAGUAAAUUGUCACAAACUAGGUGGCAAGACAGCAAAAAUAUAUUUUCUCAAAGUCCUGAAGAUGAACCACUUCAAAUCAAAUUAUCAGCAGGGCCAUAUUCUCUGAAGGCUCCAGGAAGACUCUUUCCUUGCCUUUUCCUUUCUUCUGGUAGCUCCCAGCAGUCCUCAUUAUUCCCUGUCACAUCUUCUUUGAGGCUCUGUCUCUGUUUCCGUGUGUCUCUCUGUGUAACAUCUGCUUUCUUAUACAUCCGUCAUUGGAUUUAGGGUCCACCCUAGUCCUAUAUGACCUCAUCUUAAAUACAUCUGCCAAGAUCCUAGUCUUAAAUAAGGUCAUAUUCCCAGGUAGACCUGAAUUUUGGGAAAACACAUCAGCCCAAAUCUCUUUCUCCAUGUGACCUACUGGGAUAACUAGGAAAACAGCAGGAACAGUGGCCUACCUUUUUCUUUGAAAGGUAUUUGAUGACCUGACAGUUGUAGUAAAGACCACAGCAAAGGCCUGUAGAAUAAACAAUGGGAAAAUAAGACAGAGGCACAGAGACAAGGAAAUUUCUUCAUGCCUUCCUCAUAGAGCCCAUGUAUUUUCCCAACCAAAGUCUUAGCUGUACUUCACACUUGCCCCCUCAGCAGAGAAACUGGUCUCCCCAUGGCCCAAGGCACAGGAACAUGUGUCACAUGGGGACUGGAAGCCACUGUAAAUGUGGCACCUCUUCUUAAUGCAUCAGUUGUAUUCAAUUAUUUAGUUAUUAAAAACAUGUUUAGGUUGAAAUAAACAUGACUACUUUUUAGUAGUUCCUGUUGUGGCUCAGUGAUAAUGAACCCGACCAGCACCAAUGAGGAUGCGGAUUUGAUCCCUGGCCUCGCUCAGUGGGUUAAAGGAUCUGGCAUUGUCAUGACCUGUGGUUUAGGUCACAGAUAUGGCUCAGAUCCCGCAUUACUGUUGCUGUGACAUAGGCCGGUGACCACAUCUCUGAUUUGACCCCUAGCCUGGGAACUUCCAUAU
rnacentral:lncRNA from 1 species